UUUUACAAUGAAGAGUUUGAUCCUGGCUCAGGAUGAACGCUAGCUACAGGCUUAACACAUGCAAGUCGAGGGGCAGCGGGAUUGAAGCUUGCUUCAAUUGCCGGCG
rnacentral:rRNA from 1 species